GACGGGUGAGUAAUGUCUGGGAAACUGCCUGAUGGAGGGGGAUAACUACUGGAAACGGUAGCUAAUACCGCAUAACGUCGCAAGACCAAAGAGGGGGACCUUCGGGCCUCUUGCCAUCGGAUGUGCCCAGAUGGGAUUAGCUAGUAGGUGGGGUAACGGCUCACCUAGGCGACGAUCCCUAGCUGGUCUGAGAGGAUGACCAGCCACACUGGAACUGAGACACGGUCCAGACUCCUACGGGAGGCAGCAGUGGGGAAUAUUGCACAAUGGGCGCAAGCCUGAUGCAGCCAUGCCGCGUGUAUGAAGAAGGCCUUCGGGUUGUAAAGUACUUUCAGCGGGGAGGAAGGCGUUGAGGUUAAUAACCUCAGCGAUUGACGUUACCCGCAGAAGAAGCACCGGCUAACUCCGUGCCAGCAGCCGCGGUAAUACGGAGGGUGCAAGCGUUAAUCGGAAUUACUGGGCGUAAAGCGCACGCAGGCGGUCUGUCAAGUCGGAUGUGAAAUCCCCGGGCUCAACCUGGGAACUGCAUUCGAAACUGGCAGGCUAGAGUCUUGUAGAGGGGGGUAGAAUUCCUGGUGUAG
rnacentral:rRNA from 1 species